UAAACCAGGCUGUUCUAAAUGUGUCUGUUCCUCUAUAAACCAGGCUGUUCCUCUAUAAACCAGACUGUUCUAAAUGUGUCUGUGCCUCUAUAAACCAGACUGUUCUAAAUGUGUCUGUUCCUCUAUAAACCAGGCUGUUCCUCUAUAAACCAGGCUGUUCUAAAUGUGUGUUCCUCUAUAAACCAGGCUGUUUUAAAUGUGUCUGUUCCUCUAUAAACCAGGCUGUUCCUCUAUAAACCAGGCUGUUUUAAAUGUGUCUGUUCCUCUAUAAACCAGGCUGUUCUAAAUGUGUAUGUUCCUCUAUAAACCAGGCUGUUCCUCUAUAAACCAGGCUGUUCCUCUAUAAACCAGGCUGUUCUAAAUGUGUCUGUUCCUCUAUAAACCAGGCUGUUCCUCUAUAAACCAGGCUGUUCUAAAUGUGUCUGUUCCUCUAUAAACCAGACUGUUCCUCUAUAAACCAGACUGUUCUAAAUGUGUCUGUUCCUCUAUAAACCAGGCUGUUCUAAAUGAGUCUGUUCCUCUAUAAACCAGGCUGUUCUAAAUGAGUCUGUUCCUCUAUAAACCAGGCUGUUCCUCUAUAAACCAGACUGUUCUAAAUGUGUUUGUUCCUCUAUAAUCCAGGCUGUUAUUAAAUGUGUCUGUUCCUCUAUAAACCAGGCUGUUCUUCUAUAAACCAGUCUGUUCUAAAUGUGUCUGUUCCUCUAUAAACCAGACUGUUCUAAAUGUGUCUGUUCCUCUAUAAACCAGGCUGUUAUUAAAUGUGUCGGUUCCUCUAUAAACCAGGCUGUUCCUCUAUAAACCAGGCUGUUCUAAAUGUGUCUGUUCCUCUAUAAACCAGGCUGUUAUUAAAUGUGUCUGUUCCUCUAUAAACCAGGCUGUUCCUCUAUAAACCAGACUGUUCUUAAAUGUGUCUGUUCCUCUAUAAACCAGGCUGUACCUCUAUAAACCAGACUGUUCUAAAUGUGUCUGUUCCUCUAUAAACCAGGCUGUUCUAAAUGUGUCUGUUCCUCUAUAAACCAGGCUGUGCCUCUAUAAACCAGGCUGUUCUAAAUGUGUCUGUUCCUCUAUAAACCAGACUGUUCUAAAUGUGUCUGUUCCUCUAUAAACCAGGCUGUUCCUCUAUAAACCAGGCUGUUCUAAAUGUGUCUGUUCCUCUAUAAACCAGUCUGUUCCUCUAUUGACCUGGCUGUUCCUCUAUAGACCAGGCUGUUCCUCUAUAAACCAGGCUGUUCUAAAUGAGAUAGAGGUUCAGUGCAGGUCGGGGUGGAGAGAGCUGUGUGUGUGUGUGAGGAUAUGUGGGUGUGAUUAAGGAUGGU
rnacentral:lncRNA from 1 species